rnacentral:rRNA from 1 species
UAGGGAAUCUUCCACAAUGGACGCAAGUCUGAUGGAGCAACGCCGCGUGAGUGAAGAAGGUUUUCGGAUCGUAAAGCUCUGUUGUUGGUGAAGAAGGAUAGAGGCAGUAACUGGUCUUUAUUUGACGGUAAUCAACCAGAAAGUCACGGCUAACUACGUGUCAG